GAUGAACGCUGGCGGCGUGCCUAAUACAUGCAAGUCGAGCGAACGGACGAGAAGCUUGCUUCUCUGAUGUUAGCGGCGGACGGGUGAGUAACACGUUUAUAACCUACCUAUAAUACUUGGAUAACUUCGGGAAACCGUAUCUAAUACCGUAUGAUAUUUUGAACCUCAUUUUUCAAAAGUGUAAGACGGUCUUUCUUUCUCUUAUAGAUUGAUCCGCGCUUCAUUAGCUAGUUGGUAAGGUAACGGCUUACCAAGGCAACGAUGCAUAGCCGACCUGAGAGGGUGAUCGGCCACACUGGAACUGAGACACGGUCAAGACUACUACGGGAGGCAGCAGUAGGGAAUCUUCCGCAAUGGGGGAAAGCCUGACGGAGCAACGCCGCGUGAGUGAUGAAGGGCUUCGGAUCGUAAAACUCUGUUAUUAGGGAAGAACAUAUGUGUAGGUAACUGUGCACAUCUUGACGGUAACUAAUCAGAAAGCCACGGCUAACUACGUG
rnacentral:rRNA from 1 species